GUUUGAUCCUGGCUCAGACGAACGCUGGCGGCGUGCUUAACACAUGCAAGUCGAGCGGAAAGGCCCUUCGGGGUACUCCAGCGGCGAACGGGUGAGUAACACGUGAGUAACCUACCUCGAACUCUGGGAUAAGCCUGGGAAACUGGGUCUAAUACCGGAUGUUCAUCUCCUGCUGCAUGGUGGGGGAUGGAAAGUGUUUAGCGGUUCGGGAUGGGCUCGCGGCCUAUCAGCUUGUUGGUGAGGUAAUGGCUUACCAAGGCUUUUACGGGUAGCCGGCCUGAGAGGGCGACCGGCCACACUGGGACUGAGAUACGGCCCAGACUCCUACGGGAGGCAGCAGUGGGGAAUAUUGCGCAAUGGGCGGAAGCCUGACGCACAACGCCGUGUGAGGGAUGACGGCCUUCGGGUUGUAAACCUCUUUCACCAGGGACGAAGCUUUUGUGACGGUACCUGGGGAAGAAGCGCCGGCCAACUACGUGCCAGCAGCCGCGGUAACACGUAGGGCGCGAGCGUUGUCCGGAAUUAUUGGGCGUAAAGGGCUCGUAGGCGGUUUGUCGCGUCAAAAGUGAAAAUCCGGGGCUCAACUCCGGACUUGCUUUCUAUACGGGCAGGCUAGAGGUACGCAGGGGAGAAUGGAAUUCCUGGUGUAGCGGUGGAAUGCGCAGAUAUCAGGAGGAACACCGGUGGCGAAGGCGGUUCUCUGGGCCCUUACCUGACGCUGAGGAGCGAAAGCGUGGGGAGCGAACAGGAUUAGAUACCCUGGUAGUCCACGCUGUAAACGUUGGGCGCUAGGUGUGGGAGUCUUUUGUGACGUCCGUGCCGUAGCUAACGCAUUAAGCGCCCCGCCUGGGGAGUACGGUCGCAAGACUAAAACUCAAAGGAAUUGACGGGGGCCCGCACAAGCGGCGGAGCAUGUUGCUUAAUUCGAGGCAACGCGAAGAACCUUACCUGGGUUUGACAUGUGGGUUAAUCCGGCAGAGAUGUCGGGUCCUUUUGGGAACUCAUGCAGGUGGUGCAUGGCUGUCGUCAGCUCGUGUCGUGAGAUGUUGGGUUAAGUCCCGCAACGAGCGCAACCCUCGUCCUAUGUUGCCAGCACGUUAUGGUGGGGACUCAUAGGAGACUGCCGGGGUCAACUCGGAGGAAGGUGGGGAUGAUGUCAAGUCUUCAUGCCCCUUAUGUCCAGGGCUGCAAACAUGCUACAAUGGUCGGUACAAUGGGCUGCGAGACCGUGAGGUGGAGCGAAUCCCUAAAAGCCGGCCUCAGUUCGGAUCGGGGUCUGCAACUCGACCCCGUGAAGUUGGAGUCGCUAGUAAUCGCGGAUCAGCAACGCCGCGGUGAAUACGUUCCCGGGCCUUGUACUCACCGCCCGUCA
rnacentral:rRNA from 1 species